UCAGCUUUAGCCGCCAGCGGUCAGGGAUUAGCAUUAUACCUUUGUUGAUGUAAUAAGUCACUCUGUACUAACUACCCAAGUUUUGUUAGGUCGGAACAGAAACAUUACUCGUAGAGUAAGGCUAUAUUCCAAACUGUGUCGUUCAGGAUUAGGCUGGCGUUUGUUGGGAUGAAGCUAAACAAGCUGGAGAAGUUAUCUAACCUGUUAGCUGAAGUUCGUGUCUGAUUGGAAGCAGGGUAAAGGGUUAUUCCACCCUUUUUGCGAAAAUCUGGGCGAAUUCUUAACUGCAAUAUUCUGCACGGCUUAAAGUCUCAUUAAUACACAAUCUGAGAUUAAGGAGCCAAUUAAUCUGCUUAUUCUAAGCACUAAUUGUGGGGAUUUCUAGAAUGUCUUGACUCAUAAUUGGAUCAAGUAUAUACUCUUCAGGAAAUGGUUGUGUAAAUUGAGUUAAUCAAUGUAGAAUAAUGCACUUCAGGUUUAUGUUUUAUAUUUUGUGCUGAAGUUGAUCAAAUGUAGUUCACGUUCCUCAAAAACAGGGAAACGGCAUUGUAGUUUGGUUCCAGAUUCAAGGUUGAAUCAGAUGCUAAAGUGUGUGUUGUCAGUGCAUACCUAAAUAUGAACGCCUGAAUUGAUCCUUCUGGGUUCCGACAUGUACUGAAUGUUGAAUACCGGCUGAGGCUUUUUAUGACUGGGAUGGUUAAGGUGGGAAGUAGAAGGAACAAGUCUGCCCUUUUACCAAGCAUUCCAGGACAUUCCUUUGUCAACCCCUGAGUCUUGUUCUGACAAGCACCGUGUGCCUGAAAACAACAGCACACCCGGUAGGGACAACCGUACAGCUGGAGGACAAAAAGGAACUGCUUGUUGUAAAUAGACAGCGCUGUGUUCAGGUACUAACGGCGGAGUUUUGGUCACUGUAAUGGAAAAACCUGAUUCACCAUGAGGAGGCAGGGUGCUAAGAGCGCUUUAGCACUAAGAGAACCUCAGUGAGGACAGCUUAGGGAACUCAUCUCUGCCUGGACAGUGUGGCCAAGUAGUAAAAAUAAACUGGACUUCCUCUUCAGCUCAGUGUGAAAUGGGACCUUUCUGAUCUAAACACAGUUGUGUUAAGCAGCUCACAGGUCCAGGUCCAGGCUUUGUUGAGAGGAGCUUGUUGAAAUGUCUGCCUGCUGCUCCUCUUUAAAUAGAAUGUACAGGUUUCCAGCCAUGGAAACAUAA